UACGAAGGGGGCGAGCGUUGUUCGGAUUUACUGGGCGUAAAGCGCACGUAGGCGGAUCGCUCAGUCAGGGUUGAAAUCCCAGGGCUCAACCCUGGAACUGCCUUUGAUACUGUCGAUCUGGAGUAUGGAAGAGGUGAGUGGAAUUCCGAGUGUAGAGGUGAAAUUCGUAGAUAUUCGGAGGAACACCAGUGGCGAAGGCGGCUCACUGGUCCAUUACUGACGCUGAGGUGCGAAAGCGUGGGGAGCAAACAGG
rnacentral:rRNA from 1 species